rnacentral:rRNA from 1 species
UACGUAGGGGGCUAGCGUUGUCCGGAAUCAUUGGGCGUAAAGAGCGUGUAGGCGGUCCGGUAAGUCCGUUGUGAAAGUCAGGGGCUCAACCCUUGAAUGCCGGCGGAUACUGUCGGGCUAGAGUCCGGAAGAGGCGAGUGGAAUUCCUGGUGUAGCGGUGAAAUGCGCAGAUAUCAGGAGGAACACCGGUGGCGAAGGCGGGUCUCUGGGCCGUAACUGACGCUGAGGAGCGAAAGCGUGGGGAGCGAACAGG